rnacentral:rRNA from 1 species
AUUGAACGCUGGCGGCAUGCUUUACACAUGCAAGUCGAACGGUAACAGGUCUUCGGAUGCUGACGAGUGGCGAACGGGUGAGUAAUGCAUCGGAACGUGCCCAGUCGUGGGGGAUAACGCAGCGAAAGCUGUGCUAAUACCGCAUACGAUCUAUGGAUGAAAGCGGGGGACCGUAAGGCCUCGCGCGAUUGGAGCGGCCGAUGUCAGAUUAGGUAGUUGGUGGGGUAAAGGCCCACCGAGCCAACGAUCUGUAGCUGGUCUGAGAGGACGACCAGCCACACUGGGACUGAGACACGGCCCAGACUCCUACGGGAGGCAGCAGUGGGGAAUUUUGGACAAUGGGCGCAAGCCUGAUCCAGCAAUGCCGCGUGCAGGAAGAAGGCCUUCGGGUUGUAAACUGCUUUUGUACGGAACGAAACGGUCUGGGUUAAUACCCUGGGCUAAUGACGGUACCGUAAGAAUAAGCACCGGCUAACUACGUGCCAGCAGCCGCAGUAAUAC